UACAGAGGGUGCGAGCGUUAAUCGGAAUUACUGGGCGUAAAGCGUGCGUAGACGGUUAUCUAAGUCGGAUGUGAAAUCCCCGGGCUCAACCUGGGAAUUGCAUUCGAUACUGGAUAGCUAGAGUUCGGCAGAGGGAAGUGGAAUUUCGGGUGUAGCGGUGAAAUGCGUAGAUAUCCGAAGGAACAUCAGUGGCGAAAGCGACUUCCUGGACCAGAACUGACGAUCAGGCACGAAAGCGUGGGGAGCAAACAGG
rnacentral:rRNA from 1 species